rnacentral:rRNA from 1 species
GACGAACGCUGGCGGCGUGCUUAACACAUGCAAGUCGAACGGAAAGGCCCUGCUUUUGUGGGGUGCUCGAGUGGCGAACGGGUGAGUAACACGUGAGUAACCUGCCCUUGACUUUGGGAUAACUUCAGGAAACUGGGGCUAAUAGCGGAUAGGAGCUCCUGCUGCAUGGUGGGGGUUGGAAAGUUUCGGCGGUUGGGGAUGGACUCGCGGCUCAUCAGCUUGUUGGUGGGGUAGUGGCUUACCAAGGCUUUGACGGGUAGCCGGCCUGAGAGGGUGACCGGCCACAUUGGGCCUGAGGUACGGCCCAGCCUCCAACGGGAGGCAGGAGUGGGGAGCAUUGCACAAUGGGAGGAAGCCUGAUGCAGCGACGCCGCGUGCGGGAUAACGGCCUUCGGGUUGUAAACCGCUUUCGCCUGUGACGAAGCGUGAGUGACGGUAAUGGGUAAAGAAGCACCGGCUAACUACGUG